rnacentral:snoRNA from 1 species
GGCAAUGAUGAAAACUUUUAACUCUGACUGAUGAUGAAGCCUGGGACAGCUGAGCC